CGCACAAUGACGUCGUUUAUGCUGAGAAGGAUUCGAAAUCGAUUGUCGAAAAAACUCAAGUCGAUCAACAAAAUGUCGGAUAAACAAAAUGCUCAAAAAAGUGCUAAAAUAGCAGCUGGCGCCGUGGUGUGCGUCGAAAGCGAGAUCAGAGGGGAAGUCACUAUUGGUGCCAGAACCGUGGUCCAUCCCAAAGCCCGCAUCAUUGCCGAGGCAGGACCCAUAGUCAUAGGAGAAGGCAACCUCAUCGAGGAACAAGCUCUUAUAAUUAACAGUUAUCCAGAGAACAUAGCGCCUGACUCUGAGGGAGUGGAGCCAAAGACGAUGACCAUCGGCAUCAACAACGUGUUUGAAGUUGGAUGUAUGUCUCAAGCUUUGAAAAUUGGGGACAACAAUGUCAUAGAAUCCAAAGCUGACCUGGGCAGGAACAUGAUUCUAACUUCUGGUUGUAUCAUCGGCGCCUGUUGCCAGGUCAACACCUGUGAGGUCAUACCUGAAAACACUGUCAUCUUCGGCUCGGGGUGUCAGAGACGUGUGCAGACAGAGCGACCACAGCCUCAGACUCUUCAGCUUGACUUCCUGAUGAAGAUCCUCCCCAACUACCACCACAUGAAGAAGACUGUCAAAACCACCUCCGCUGUCACACCGGCCAAAAACUAAACCCCACCAGCUCUCAGCCCCGGGCCCCAAAACAUUUACCUCUCUGGCAGACAGCGAACGAAGGAAUCUCUUACCACUCAAAAUGUACUGCCACUACUUUAACAAGAAUCUGAAGAAUGUCACUGAAGUGUUCUCCUUGGUGGUCUCACCACACCGAGUUCCAGUUUCCCAGACCCAGGUCCAGUUUCCCAGACCCAGGUCCAGUUUCCCAGACCCAGGUCCAGUUUCCCAGACCCAGGUCCAGUUUCCCAGACCCAGGUCCAGUUUCCCAGACCCAGGUCCAGUUUCCCAGACCCGGCUGGAUUUAAACAGUUUAGUCCAUGAUGAGGCGUGACCUGUGUCUGGGAAACUGCCCCUUGGUAGUGGAAGUGUCUGACUGUUUACCACCAAAUUCUUUGUAUCCAAUUGUAAUUAAAAAAAAUGACUUAUUUAAAA